GACGUAGGUGGCGAACGUUAUCCGGAAUUACUGGGCGUAAAGCGUGCGUAGGCGGUUUGUUAAGUCCGUUGUGAAAGCCCUGGGCUCAACCUGGGAAUUGCAGUGGAUACUGGCGAGCUAGAGUGCGGUAGAGGAUGGUGGAAUUCCCGGUGUAGCGGUGAAAUGCGUAGAGAUCGGGAGGAACACCCGUGGCGAAGGCGGCCAUCUGGACCAGCACUGACGCUGAGGCAUGAAAGCGUGGGGAGCAAACAGG
rnacentral:rRNA from 1 species